rnacentral:lncRNA from 10 species
GGACACCUAGCGGAUGUUCAACAAAUGUCUGGAUGUUCUCAAGAUGGCGGGCAGUCCCACCUUUCCAAAGCCUUUGCGGGCAGGACAGACGCGCUCAGUCACAAAAUUCCUUUCCUUUGUCUCAAUGCCCCACGUUCUGGGUAACAUAAUAUGGUGCUCCUCAACGGUGGCCAAGGGUCAAUGCGAUGUUUACAGCUGAACAAUUUCCAGGCCCUCUUUUCUUGUACCAAGGUAGAGAGACAGACACCAAGAGACACCCCCAUCUUUGAAUGCUAGACUAAAAACGGGAAAAUGUUUGUAAAAUUAAGUUUUAAAAA